CGAGCGCACCUUCGGGUGAGCGGCGGACGGGUUAGUAACGCGUGGGAACAUACCCUUUUCUACGGAAUAGCCUCGGGAAACUGAGAGUAAUACCGUAUAAGCCCUUCGGGGGAAAGAUUUAUCGGGAAAGGAUUGGCCCGCGUUAGAUUAGAUAGUUGGUGGGGUAAUGGCCUACCAAGUCUACGAUCUAUAGCUGGUUUUAGAGGAUGAUCAGCAACACUGGGACUGAGACACGGCCCAGACUCCUACGGGAGGCAGCAGUGGGGAAUCUUAGACAAUGGGCGCAAGCCUGAUCUAGCCAUGCCGCGUGUGUGAUGAAGGUCUUAGGAUCGUAAAGCACUUUCGCCAGGGAUGAUAAUGACAGUACCUGGUAAAGAAACCCCGGCUAACUCCGUGCCAGCAGCCGCGGUAAUACGGAGGGGGUUAGCGUUGUUCGGAAUUACUGGGCGUAAAGCGUACGUAGGCGGAUUGGAAAGUUGGGGGUGAAAUCCCAGGGCUCAACCCUGGAACUGCCUCCAAAACUAUCAGUCUAGAGUUCGAGAGAGGUGAGUGGAAUUCCAAGUGUAGAGGUGAAAUUCGUAGAUAUUUGGAGGAACACCAGUGGCGAAGGCGGCUCACUGGCUCGAUACUGACGCUGAGGUACGAAAGUGUGGGGAGCAAACAGGAUUAGAUACCCUGGUAGUCCACACCGUAAACGAUGAAUGCCAGUCGUCGGGCAGUAUACUGUUCGGUGACACACCUAACGGAUAAGCAUCCGC
rnacentral:rRNA from 1 species